rnacentral:rRNA from 1 species
CCUACGGGUGACAGCAGUGGGGGAUAUUGCACAAUGGCCGGAACCCUGAUCCAGCGAAGCCGCGUGAGGGAAGAAGUAUUUCGGUAUUUAAAGCUCUAUCAGCAGGGAAGAAAAUGACAGUACCUGACCAAGAAGCCCCGGCUAACUACGUGCCAGCAGCCGCGGUAAUACGGAGGGAGCAAGCGUUAUCCGGAUUUAAUGGGGGUAAAGGGAGCGUAUAGGGUUAUGUAAGUCUGGAGGUAAAUCCUGGGGCCCAACCCCGGGAUUGCUUUGGAAACUGUGUAACUGGAGUACAGGCGGGGCAGGCGGAAUUCGUGGUGUAGCGGUGAAAUGCGUAGAUAUCAGGAGGAACACCGGCGGCGAAGGCAGCCUGCUGGACUGAAACUGACGUUGAGGCUCGAAAGCGUGGGGAGCGAACAGGAUUAGAUACCCCUGUAGUC